rnacentral:lncRNA from 1 species
UUGACCUGAGAUUUGCAAUUCAAUAAAUCAAAAGCCGAAUAACAAUUUAUUUAAGCAAAGCCUAUCCCAUGGCCAUAGGUACAAUCACAAAAAUGUGAAAACUUCUUCAAUGCAUAUUAUGUGUCUCAAAUAAUUCAUACAUAUACCUCAUUAAGUGGAUGAAAAUGAAGAGGUGCUGGCCACAUGCUAUAGAAAAUUCCCACGUAGAGUUACCAUUUUUUUUGGUUGCAAACCCAACUUUUUUAUUUCAUAAAGAAAGAUGAGAAGGGAUGAGAUUAAUUCCCAAACCUUUUCCUAGUUGCAAAAAGGAUGAAUAUUCAGCAAUAUACACAAUAAUCCAUAUUCUAGAGUUAAGUGACUAUAAAAAAAAUCUAUAGCUAUGUUGGAGGACACCACCAAAAACAUAUUAGGGACUGAAAAAUUCAAGCAAAAGGAUUAGCAUAACCUAUACAAAUGUGAACUGCUUGACAUGAGUUUUAAUUCUAAAAGUUGGAACUUGGUCUGAGUCAUUCUUCAGGGGAGCUUUGGCUUUUGUAGAGUCGGAGCUUCUGUGAAGAAAAUCUUCUCCUUUUUGAUUCUCUCCAAAAUUAGCCAUGAAAUCUGCAAAAUAGUUGGUCUUCCAAUAGCAAUGGGCAAAAGAAUAAUCUCUUUGUUUGUCCUUAGCCAUUAAUAGUCACACUAUUAUGAUCAUCCCCUUUAUCUCAGAAUUGUUUUCAAUCAUUAUUAUAAAUAUGAUUAAAUUAUCUACUGCAAAAAUAACCAAAGAAAUCUAGGUCACUUGCAAAAGUUGAAUCUAGGGGUGAAGUGUUUUAAAGUUUUGUAUCCCAAUACUAAAACUGUAACUUUUAUCCAAGAACAACUAUUAAAUACUAUAUACAACACCAUAAUCUGUCACUAAUCAUUAUCAGUACACCAAACAGAACAUUAAGUUUCUUUUUGAAGAAAAGGGGGCCAAAAUUUGAAGAGCCUGAAAAAAGUCUGUGAAAUUGUGUACCUGAAGGCUUGAAAUUUAAGAGAUUCUGAAAUUAACCCUUCCCAUAGUUUAGGCUGCUUGUUGUUCUGUCUCUAGACCUUGAUUGUUUUUUGCCACCUUAGCUUAGUCGAGGCGUAAUUAUUAAAGCGAGCAAGAAUCCAAAAUUAUUAAUUGAAAAGUAUAUCAAAUGUGUUUGAAUAGCAAAGGAGUUAAAUCCAUAAGAACUUGAAAUAAAACUAGGUGACCUCAUCCGCUGUUAUGCAAGAAUACUAUUUUGCUUCCAUCAUCUAAAACAAAGAGUACAUUAGUUCAAAAAGAUCCACAUUCUUCUUAUAUGUUUUCCAUACAUAUUUGUAUAUGGCUCUAUAAGCUUAUUUAUGCACCAUUCACCUUUUUUACCCCAUACUUUCAUAUUCACCCUUCUCUAAAGUGCCUCUUCUUUGACAAUAUAUCUCCAUAACCACUUCAUGAGUAAACUACCAUUUCUUACUCUUAUUCUAUUUAUUUCUAAAUCUACAAUUUUCUUCUCCAAUGUGGCAGUGUCCCACUUUAUUAGAUGUAUCAAUUGAUUUUCUUCAGCUUUUAAUCCUUUUUUUCCUUCUCAUUUAUUCAACUUUUGUGCUACUUUUAUAGUACUGAAGGAGAGUUAUCACACAAUAUUUGUUCCAAUAAUGGUAGCAUACAGGCAAGUCAUUAGACAAAGUCGAUCUAUGCAACACAAAAAAACCAUUACAUACAUGCAAAGGAAUAAUUAAAGAAAAUCGAAGAUGUGAUCCGUUGAAGUUCGAUCUAACCAAAUUUGAACAUAAUACCCAAAUAAAAAGGAAUAGAAAACAAAUGAAAUUACGACCAUCACCUGUUACUUUGCCGCUAUUGCCUUCCAAUGAUACUCAUAGAUUUACCCACAAAUGUUAGUGAAUUGAAAAAUUAAGAGUGUGAAAGUAAUUGAGCAGCAACCAAGAAACAGGGGAAAAUGAAGGGGGAAAAAAGGAGGCAUGAGCAAGAUUGAUUGAAAAAACAUAUCUAGAGCUUGAACACACAACAACAAAAAUGCAAACAUUCUUGAAACUCGAGAGCAAGAACAGUAGCGAGGAGAAAUCCACUGAAAGUAAAAAGAAAGGAACGUACGAAAAUUCAAUUACAUUCAUACCUUUUGCGUGUGAAAGACAUUACAGCCAACUUGAUGAACCACUUUCCUUGCUGCAGCAAAAGAAGGAAAAAAAAUGAAGUACUCCAUAUAAAAUGACUCGAGACAAACAUCAAAUAUUGCGGGUCCACAAUCCACUUCUAAAUUUCAGUAAUCUUUUAUAGCUUAAAUUUUGCCACAUGACGAUGUAAUUAUGCACUAAUUAGAUAAUAACAAAGAUAAAAUUUAUCAAAGAGACAUAACGCAUAUGUAGAUCAAGUAAAAUAACAAAAAAAUGUACUUGAAAUUCUGGCCCGAAAUUAUAUUCAAAAACAAUAAGAAAGUAAAAAAUAUACCAAAUUAGUAGCGAUAAUAAUAAAGCAAGAUCAGAAAAAAUCCGUCCAAUUCUUACCAAACAAUAGCCUGAAUCUCGGAGGUUUGUAGAGAGGAUUAGUAAACAGUGAAGAAAAAAGAUGUUAAGGCAUAGUCAUUCUUGAUAUCUAAGAUUUUUGUGAGACAGUCUAACUUCUGCACUAAUUAAUUGUCUAUAUAGAGAUUAAAUUCAUCAAAUAAAUACAAUGCAUGUGCAAAUGAAGCAGUUAGUAACAUACAUGUAGAAAUCUUUAGCUAGAAACUAUAUUCAAAAGAGUAGGAAACUAAGGUCCACAUACCAAAUUGUGAUUACUUUUAAUUACUGAAUCUCAAAGAACUGAAGAGACCAUCAAGCAUGACCUCGUAAAAACUAAUAAGAGCAAACAAAAAUGAGACUUAAAGAAACAAAAAGGUAAACACAUGUCGAAGAAGAAACAAAUCAUGGGACUGCAAUUAAAGUGCAAUACACGUGUCUACUUGAGAAGCUAAGAAAAAUUAAAUCGUUGAUAAUACAACUAUCAACUUACGUAACUUCGUGUACAAUUAUGUGAUGCAGAGUUCGUCCCAUGCUUGUUUCAUGACAUCAAGCUUGUCCCAAUUUGUAGAUGUAGAUGAAGUUAAGCCCAUGAGUCAUCCGUCUUCUCUCCCCCGAUAUGUAGUUUUCCUUUUUUAGAAGAAAAUCAAUGGGAGGAAAACUGAACACGUGUAACUAUUUCACAUUUCAAUAAGCUAUAGAGAGUAAAUGUUGAAUCUGUGACAUUCUAAUACUUCUAAAGUACAAAACCAGCACAAUGCAACAACUAAAAGGAUUUCAUUCAUCUGAUGAAGUGAUGGCAAAAUAUAGAAAUGCUUGCUGAAAGAAAAAGAAUAACAGAUCCCAACUUAUCAUUAUCAUACAACAUUAGCAAAACGGGCAUUUUAACUCUAAUAUUACCAAAAAUCUGAAUGAAAGGUAUUUGCUGGAAGGAAAAAAUAACAACAUUCAACCUAUCAGUAUUACAUAGCACCUGCAAGGCAAAUAUUUAAACUAUGAUAUUACAAAACAACAGAAUGAAUGGAAAUAUAGAAUUGGUAGACGACGGAAUGACAAACAGGAAGGAGUAAGGAUACGUAACAUUCAGAAAUAACUAAACUUCCUACCUCUUUAGUGUUCCAUAAUCAUCCAUAUUUUUGUUUUGCUCCUGAUUUAGAAUGUACCCUGUUUUAAGUUUCAAAGAUAAUGUGGAAUCAUUGUCAAAGGGUCAAGGGUAAGUAUAUUUGUCGGUUUUGUGCCGCACAUGUUAUAUGUAGCCACAUGUAUAGUAUUUUUGUCGGACCCAUGUAGUAGCCACAUGUAUAGUAUAUUACAAAGAUGAUGCAGAAGAUUAAUGCACAUAACAAUUAUACCUAAGCUAUGAAAUUCACAACAAAAUUGGAUGUGAAGGAAUGUUAAUAUGAAGUCGAAACUACAUACUACAAGGGCCCUUAGACAUCAUGAAUACUUUUGGAUGUAUUCAAGAGAACACCAAAAUGGUGGUGGUCAUCUGAUAUUAAACUGUUUUUGCAUAUUAUGCUAAUUCUCCAUUAUAAUAAUUAAUUAGUUAGUAAAACGUAAACUUUUCUGAUCACGACAACCUUGCGUCAAUAAUGUUGGAAAUGGAUCUCUUCAAGUUUUUCUGAAGAUUCAGAUACAACUCUUGUUACUUUCUUCUCUUCGUCUUUCAAAAUCAGAUUUUGAAAUUUGAUGUUCUUCUCCAAACUUUCUCGCUCUUGAGUCAUGACCACAAUUUGGACUUUGCAAGUCCAAUCAAGAGUAUCAGUUGUUAUUCAAUCGAUAUUGAAUCUUAGUACCAUAUGUCCACCCAAGAUAUUUUAACAACAAUAUGGGCAGGAAGAGUUAGAGAGCAACACCAAUUACAGUUCUCUACAAUUUGUGAUAUAUUAAACUAAGACACACAUCUUUUGUUAAUGUCGAAGCUCUUACACAUUGGCAAUCAAAAACAAAGUGUUGUAUACAUAUUUUAAACAUGCAUAAAAUUCUUUUGUCAACAUCUAAGGUCUUGAUAAUGACAAUGUAUACAUACAACAAAAAUAUAUUUGGAUAGUUGCUGCAAGAAGAGAAAGAUGCAUCUGUUCAUAGACAUAACAGGAGGAGAAGGAGAGCACAACAAACACAAUAGACCAACAGUGAAGAGAAGUUAUUAAUUAAUCCAUGCAACAGAAUUAUAACCCGCAUACCAAAAUGGAGCAGGAAGAAUUGCAAAAAGUAUACCCACAAAAAGGUAAUCGAUUACCAACAAAUGAGUGACCCUAAGUUGACAAAAAUUUCACCAACAAACAGGAAAAAAGAAAGGACAAACAUUUAAAUAGAGAAGAUCAGAAUUUCGUAGACCAGCAAUGAAGUGCAAUAAGCAGGAAAUUUGAGUAGAAAUUUCUAUAAAUGUACAGUUAAAGAAGGGGAAAAGUUCAUUUAGGCAUACAAUCAAACACUUUUGGUACAGUGGAGAGCGAAGGUAAGUACUGACAUGCAACUCAAACUGAGAAACCAAGAAGGAGAUUUUUUUUUUCAAUUUGAGCAAUGAUGAAAGCUACAAAAUAAAAACACACAAUGAACUUUGAACACACGAUUGAAUGAAAAAUUAGAGAACUUUGUUUAAAAUCCCAAAGAUCCACAUGCAAAGAUUAUACAUUCAAAUCAAAAUUUUAUUGCAUCUAUAUUUGUCAGAUUCAAAAUCCGUCCUUUAUAUUUGCUAAUAAAGAACCAAUUUAUUGCAUUUAUUUAUUUAUAUUAUUCCUAUAUUUCUCAAAGGAAGAAGAAGGGUGAUAGAACUCACCAAAAAUAAGAAAAUCUAACCACGAUAAGAGAUUGAGAUACAAAAUUUUGAGAAUUGCGAGAAGAGCUUUUGUUGAAGUCUAUGUCUUCAUAUAACUUUAAAGCAUGUGUUUGCCUCAUUAUCACAUCAAAAACAGUAUGCAAUUUGAUCUGCAAAUGCAAAUUAAAUCUAGAGAUAAAAAUUAGAAGGAAAACCCAGAAAUUUAUAAUUAGAAUGAAAAAUUACCUCCAAUUUCGUUAGUGAAAUAUGAAAUUUAAUUUCAUCACCAAAUUAAUGCAUCAAUUCGGAAUCGAAUCACUCUUCUCUAAUUUUCCAUCAAUUGCUCUUCCUCCAUCUCUAAGUUCUUCUUCUCCUUCUCCGGCAAUUGUGUGAAUGAGGAGAAUAAAAAAUAGAAAAAGUAGAAGAAAGAAAGAACCAAAGCAAAAUAAUUGAAAACUGGAAAAAGGUAGAAGGACACGUGUAGUAUAGGUGUUUAUUUUCUAGUGAAUUAGACUCAAAUGGUGUAGUACAAUUUUCAAUGCAAUUGAUACGAACUUUCUAAAGCUGUGUUGGUACUCUAUCUUGUUGGCUUAAAG